GAUGAACGCUGGCGGCGUGCCUAACACAUGUAAGUCGAACGUGAGGGUGCAGCAAUGUGCCUGAAAGUGGCGAACGGGUGAGUAACACGUAGAUAACCUACCCUGGAGUGGGGGAUAACGACUGGAAACGGUCGCUAAUACCGCAUUCGACUCUCUUUGCGGGAGUAUGGAGAGUGAAAGAUUUAUCGCUCCAGGAGGGGUCUGCGUCCGAUUAGCUAGUUGGUGGGGUAACGGCCCACCAAGGCGAUGAUCGGUAGCUGGUCUGAGAGGAUGAUCAGCCACACGGGAACUGAGACACGGUCCCGACUCCUACGGGAGGCAG
rnacentral:rRNA from 1 species